CAAAUACCCCAAAUAUCCCAAGUUCCUUGUCAUACAGAAUUUUGUAAAAGGAAAAAAAAAAGCUAAUUAGUCUUGUUUUAUUUGUUUUCCUAAUGUGCAUGAGAAAACUGUUUUUGUAAUGCAUUUUAUCUUGCAUACUUACAGUCAUGAUAAUAUCCCCAGUUGCAAGAGAAGAGCUGGGCUUAAUCCAGAGUGAUAAAGUGGAUUUGGAGCUAGACUGAAGAGCACCUUUGACUCAUUUUAAGGGCCUCUACUAUCAUGCUUCAGUGUCAUAAAAAUAAUGAGGUUAUGCUAGCAUGUGGUGUUUGUACUUCCAAAUACAGUACAUCACUUUGAAAAGCCAGAGGCUAAAAUUAGCUAAGAAUGAAUUGAGAAAAAAAAAAAUCUCAAAAAAAAAAAUGUGAAAAUCUCUUCCUUAAAAUCUCCCAAUAAUAUACGAUACUGGAAAUUAUGAUUUGAUUUGGAGUGGGCUUAAAGGAUUGAAAUGCUGUGGCUAUUUAAGGUUUGGAGAGGAAGCCAUUUUGUCUCGAUAAUGUGUCAUUAGGAAGAUUUGAAAUAAAAUAGUUAGAGAUGAACUCUACUGCCAAUUGUGUCGCUGGCCCUGCACGCAUCCUGAGCCACUAAACCCACUGAUUGCGAUGAGUCUCCUCUGGUUAAUUUUCUUCCAUAAUGGUGGUAACUUGCAGCUGAGGCCAUAGGAUGUUACAAAAUUAUUUAUGCAAUGUUAGCCACUCUUUUGGACCCCAGAUCUAUUUUGUUUCUCACAGUGAGAGCAAGAGGGAGGAGAAAUAGGUUAGCUGGGGACAGGCUGAGUUCCAGUCACCCUGCAGAAACAUGUGAGCUAUUAAUUGAGUGUUCUGUUAAUAUCAUAGGGGCCUAUGAAAUAUUCAGCUUCCUAACUGAGUUAUUAAAUGAGAUAAACUUGCUGAGUAGCAUGUUACCAAUUGUAUUUAUUCCCCAUUUUUCACUCAAAAAAUUAACCCACAGCAAUCUCAGGAACAUGAGAAAUAUGUGAUUUUAAUCAUUCUUUCCUCAGGUGUUGUAGACAAAUUUAGCAUGAGGAAGCCAGUGAUUAUAUUUGGAGAGUGAGAACUACAUCCUUAGAUAAAGUAACUAAUGAGAUAUGCAUUUUUCUUUAUUUACUUUCUCAUUUAAAAGUAUUGUCUCCUGGGAGGUACAACACUGCCAGCCUGACUUUGCUUUUAAACCAGCUAAAAUGUUCAUCAACUAUGAACUUGAGACAGUGGUUAGAGUAAAUUAUUGGAAUCUCUAUAAUGUAUUAUCAGUAAGAACUGUACCUUUGAAAAAGUUUAAAAGUUAAGUAUAUUUAAUGAUGCCUAACAUAUUUUAUUGGCUGUGUUUAACAAAAGGCACUAUGCCGCAGUUGUUUUUGACAAGCAUGAAAACAUCACAGCAUGAGACUGCAAAAGGAAUUAUGGAGAGAAAUUACAAGUGAUCCAUCUCUCAAUGAAUUAUCCACCUCAAUAGCCUGCAGAACUCAGCUACCAAUUAACACCUACUUUAUUACAUGUUGGGAUGUACUUAAUAACUUUCAUGUGUUUAUGCACUAUUACCUUGACUGAUGCCUCUUGUACAAUUAGGCAUAAUUGGCAUAUCAAUAUGCAAAAGUUAAAAGGAUUAACCCUCUUAAAACUAAUGAGCAUUUCUGUAUCCAGCUGCUAAAUGAGACAAAAUUAGCAUUUUUCACUUUUGGGCAGGAUUUUAUCAUGCAGUUUCUCAUUGUUGAUAUUACCUUGUUACAUAACUUUAGUUUGGGGGGUUGUAUGCUGGACUGCUAGAGAAUAAGAGUUUUCCAAAGUUAAAUUAGCUAUAAUUAUCCCAGCUUUUGUUUCCGCAUUCUUAGCCUGGGCAAUAUGUAUUCCUCGAUAAGGAACAAAAAUAAAAGUUACUUUUGGUUAUGUGUGCUCAGUGCAUAAUUAUAUAAAAGGGGUAUUUUAGUGAGGAUGUGUCAUUUCACCGAGAAAACUUGGCUCAGAGAUACUGUAUUGAAAGCUUGCCAUGGCACUAAUUUUCUUUCUGUCUCAGUUCUUUUCAUCUCUUUUUUCCAUGCACAAUUUUCUGACUAGAUACUGACAGAAUGUAAAGUAUUUUGGCAUAUUUAUUCAAACAAGCCUGUUAAAGUUAUCUGCUCAAGCUAAACUAAGAACUUGAUUUUUCAGAAGUUGGGUGGUGGGGUGAGGUCAAGGGGGAGAUUUUGAAUUUAGAGGUGGGAAGAGAUGGGUACUAAAAAUGUGGGCACAUAUUCAAAUGCAGUAGGGUUUGUUGUAACAGAGGCACAUACAUGUAGUCUGUACAGAAAAAAAUCAAAAGUAUUUAGAGAUCAUACAUAUGUCAUGCAUCCUACUUAAUAUAUAUGGCAUAUGCAUACUACUUGUUCACUAGUAUAACAAUUAUGCAAAUCCAGUAUGACUUACUGGACUAUAUAAUAACACAAGGAUCUGAUAUUACAUUCAUCAUGACUUAAUUCAUUACAAAAAUGAUAAAAUAUUCUAGAGUCAAACCAAUUCUGUAAUUUUCUCACAAAUUCAUAAAUUCCUCUCGUAAAUUUUGUUCAAUUAAAAUGUUUUUAAUAUGACUCUUAACUUAGAACACAAUACAAAAUUCUCCUGUAUAUGUCGUAAAAGCUUUGAUUCUUAGUUAUCUUAAAUGAGGAAUGCUAUGAAAUGCCAAUAUAAACAUUUAUCCAACCCUCAGCUAUGCAAACGUAGGUGAAUUUACUUGCUAAGUUAGAAAUUUUGAUAACCUAAAUGUUGCAGGAAAGCAUCUCAGUAAAACAGAUAUGAAUCCUCCAUUAGUAUUUUAUUGGUGAUGUGCAUCGUUUUCUUUAGACAUCAAAUAAUCAUUCUAAAAUUUGGUUAAUAAAAUCAAUGCCUUUUCAAAAUUCAAAGAAGUUACUUUUUGACGUGGGAAAUGUUGGAGAGGUGGGCAGUUUCGAGAGGGGGAAGUGGUUUGCAAGAAAAUCGCCCAUCUGUAAGAGAGAUCUGGAGAGCUCCCUUUGGUGGGGAAAGAACAGUCUUUGGUCUCAGUGAUUUGUUGUCCCGUCCUGAGCACCAGAGUGAGACCUCUUAAAGGUAGACAGCUUAUUUACCAGAAUGUGCUAAACAGAAAAUCAGACAGCUGAGGGCCAAUAGAUGGGGGCAAGUGAACUGUGCCUGUUUAAGGGCUAAAAAGACCAAUGUGCAUUGCAGCAAAUAGCUAUUGCAAAAGGUUUAAUGUGGCUUUGAUGUUAUUUAUAAGAGAGAUGCUCCUGCCUAAUACACAGUUUAGAAUAGAUAUUAAUGAGGAGUUUAAAUAGCCCGAAUCAGGAAACUGCAGACAUAUGAUUUGCAGGCAAGAGUAGUUUCGGCAUUUAAUGCUGGUGUCUUAAGCAACAACGUGUAUGAAUAUUCACCGUUUCCAUCUUGUAAACGCCACAGAACGGCAUUACUUCAUUCAUGGCCAUCAUGAACAGGAAAAUAUUUUUUAUUGGUGUUCAGAUAAAGACUUAGGUGGAGCCAUUUUUAAACAUUAACAUACAAGAUUCCUUUUACUUCCAUUAACAGAUUGUUUGUUCAGUUUUUAAAUAUAUUAUCAGAAAAAAGAGGAAACAAUUUUCUUUUGUUUCUUACUUCUGUGAUUAUAGGAUACUUGCCAAAGUUGUGGCUAGCCAAAAAGGCAGACAUAAAAAUUGCUACUAAAAAUAUAAACCUUCUGUUUAGUAGAGUUUUUAAGAAAUAUUAUGAGAUUGUAGGGCUUGUCCAUGUUUACUUCAAAUCAAGCUUAUAGUUAGGUUUGAGGCUUUGUUUGUAUAAAUUGUCCUGAAGUGGAUCCUGAUAUUUAAUUAAAAUGACACUAAAUCACAUUGAAUUGAUAAGACUUGGCAUCUCAAACAAAGGUAAUUGCCCGUAUUGGUUUUGUGCAAAAAUAGCGCUGCUUGGAAAAUGUGCAGCCAACACAGACUGUCAACUCCAUUUAUAGAUCAAUAUGUGAAAACCAUUGAUCAGGCAGGCAUGUGUAACAGUAACACUUUGCAUUUAUUUGUUGUUUUUAUACCACAUUAAGGCUUACAGGAUUAUAGGAUUCCUAAAUAUUUUGACUUCCUCAUAAAUAUAUGAUCUGUUGCAUGUUAAUUAAAUGAGAGUCUGCAGCCAUUUCUAAAAUUGUUUUUAGUUUGAUGAUUUCCUUUUAUUGCUGUGGAUCGUAUGAUCUGAAAAUGGAUUAGUUUCCUUCUGCAUAAAGAUUAUUAAAGCUUAUUUUAAUGUGUCCUAUUUAGUGUAAGAUGUGUCUGUAUUUUUGCUUUGAAAAACAUAGAUACAGACAAUUAUUUUCUCGUAGCGAGUGGCUGAUCUUUUUUCAUUAACUGGGCAUUCUCAGCGCUCAGGGUAGAAUUAUUUCCUGACAUAUUUUGCACACCCUGUAGAUAACGGGUCUUCUUGACUUCCCUGAUAGAAUUUGUUUUCUUUCUUUUCCUUUUAUCUAGCUCUGUAGUACAGGCAUCUGACCAAACAUUAUGUAGAAAAUAAACUGAUCAUCUCAAUUAAAUUCUAGACACACACAAAUAUAAUUUAAAUUCUAUUUUUCUGAUUCAAGAACAAGCCUUAUGAACUGUUCUUAUACACUGCAUUCUUCAGUUAAAUCUCUCUUAUCUCAUCAAUGUAAGGACAGUGUUUUGUUCCUAAUCUUUAUUGGACUAUUGUGGAUGACAUUUGUAAGCCAUUUUGGUUUAUAAGGAAAAGCUGGAGGACAGUGGAGUGAGACUCUCCAAAGAUCCAGGCCUCUGAUAUGACUACACAAUAAUGUGUCUUCCACUGCAAUUUUCUUUACCACUGGGAGGGCAAUUUUGUUGAGAUUUUUUAAUAUUUUCUAUAUACAUUAGGAGUGCUGCUUUCAAGACAGUGCUUUCUAUACAAUAUUAAAAUAAUAAAAGAAACAAGAUUUUAAAAACAGCAACAAACAAAUAAGCAUGAAAUUCGAAGGUUUCCUAAGGUAUUUUGCAGACAUGCUGUAGAACAGAUGAAAAAGUUUGUUAGCUAGAAUUUUGACUUUUACACAAUAUGCCCCUGGGAGAAGAAGAUUCAAAAACCACUGGAGAUUUCUUUCCUUGUCCAUGCCACCCUUUGCCAUCUCAUGCUGUGAAAAUCUUUAACUCUAUUUACCAAGCACAAAUUGGACUUGCCAAAAGGUUCAGAAAGUUUAUGACGACAGUGAAGAGUCCAUACUUCAAAGAAAGAGCUAGGGCUCUCACAACCACAUAUGUGGCUGCACCGUUUCCAUCUUAACCUGAGCAUAGCUAAAUUUGUUUAUAAUCUCCUACUGAUAGAACAUGGUGCUGAAUGUACAUGAGAUACAUUUUUUUAAAAGUUAGUCCUCUGAUUACUAAUUUGAAUCCAAAACUCUAACCUUGUUAGCAUCUGGACUUAUUUCCAUAAUAACAACCCCUUCAGAACCUACAAAGUAAUGAAUAAUUGACAACAAAUGAAAUGUUUUGAUAGUUGUCGGCACAAAGCAUGUUUAAUGUUUUGUGUUGCUUCCUAGCUAAUUAUGUAGAUGACACAUUUGUCAGACCUUGACUGCCAUUAGAAACGUGUUUCCAGAGGGGAGAAAAACAGGCUAUUCAUAGAGUAAUUAGCUAGAAUGCUCAAUGACCUGUGAGAGAUUCAAAUCGCUGCCAGUUCAGACAUUGUUUUGUUACAGAGCAGAGGGGUAAUUAAAAUUCCAAAUUACAGUCCUAUGAUGGAGCAUUUGUUUGUUGACAGUAUACUCUUACUCUAGUUUGUUAAUUUUUUUUUAAAUUGCUUCUAAUCCAUUUUAUAGCUUUAGGAGUUCCGUCUUUGAAUUUGCUGACAACUAAUAUUAUGGUAAAUUGUACUUCAGCUGAGUACUGCGUGCCUCACAAUUUCAAGGGACCACAAGGUUGGUGGGAUAAAAUAGCUCCUUCUCAAGACUGACAGAUCAGGUGCUGUCAGCGAGAAUGCCUCUAACAUGGAACAUCUUGUCAAAUACUGCUUCCAAUUCUAUAUGAGGGGGAAAUGAACUAGUGGAAAAUACAAAGGUAGAGAGGAAAGCAACAAUGAACAACUAGAACGGAGCAAGAAGCUGUUCUCCCAAUAAGAAAUGAUUGAUUAAGUGUUCUGUUACCGAGUAGGAGAGAAGAGUGAGAGCUGAGGAUGAUUUGGGAAAUGGUGUUGAGAUUGUGGUGCUGAGUUCAAGGCAGAAGAUGCGGCCGUCUGUAGGAGGGCUCACCUAGAUCACCCAAAGGAUGGCAUGUUUCACAGUAACACCUUUCAUCUCAGGUCAAUAACAAACCAUGGAAUGACAGAUAUCAUUCAUGAGAUGUUUCAAGGAAAUAUUGGGAUAGUUUACAAAUCUAGAGGGCUAAAAUAGUCUAAAAAAUUCAGUUCCAGUGGAACAUGUAUUUAGGUUGCUGAAAGUGAGAAUAUAGUUUUAUUAAAAAGAUCUGACAGAAGUCACACGGUGUUUGAUGCAGGCGAACUGACAGAGGCAUCCAGUGAGCGCUGAUUAUCCCGAAGUCACUGUCAGCUAGGAUUGAUUUUCACUUUCUCCGUUUAUGUAACGGUUCCUGUAAUACAGCUGACCCCGAAUCACGUUACCUUGUCAUUUCUCUGCAUGGAUCAAGAAGAGAUGAGCUGAAAAUAGCUAGACACUGACCUUGAACUUACCAGAAAAGUGAGAAGUGACAGUGGGGUUUUUCUGUAGUUCAUGUACAGAGACGAAGGCACACUGUUCCUCUGUCGAGUUCACUGCAGCAGCACAAGGGGGCAGAGCAGUACUAGAGAUUACAGGUAACACAGCUUCUGCAACAGCAUGGAAAGACUCUGAAAUACGGAGUUAGAGCCAGAGGUCUCAUUUUUACAUCUUAGUUUAGACAUAAAGGAGAAUUACUGAUGAAUCAAAAUCUCAGGUCCCCUGAUGUUCAUAAUCAGUAAUCUAAAAGUGUACCUUCUAAUUAAAAAAGGUUACCUAAUACGCUGUGUGCCAGCAACUAUGCUUUUCCACUAAAUUUUUGCAGCAUCUCUUAUUUAAUUCUUAUAAUACUCUUCACUCUUAAAAUAACUUUGGAACCAUAGUCAAUAUUAUUAAGAGAGGUUUAAUUUAUGGCAAACUCCCAAGGUGAUAUGUGUCACUUUACAUACAAUUGUAUCAGCAGAUGGGAAUAUUCUUUACAUAUUUACCAGAUGUUAACACCCAAAAAUUAAAACUGGAGAGUGUUUAAUGGCAGUGUGCACUCACGAACAGGUAAAAGGCAAGCUAGAAAAUGGUGUUUACCAUUUAAUUUACAUUUAUUUAUGCCUGUAUGUCUUCCCAUUUUAAUAUCUGCCUCAAUUUUCAAAAAUGUAUUUUAAUAGAUCAUCAUUAUAACCUUGAUUAACCUAAAACACAGUAUGUCAAAUAUUAUCCUUUGCUUGCUAGCACUUAGUUAAGCUAAAUCAUUGCUGUACUGAUGCUGAAUGUUUCUGAUAAAUGGCACUUUAAAAUCUUGGCAAGUGAAGCAGAGAACUGAAGCAGGUUGAGAAACAGAACAGCAAACACUGACUCAAUUAUCCCCCAGGUUGUAAGUGCCUUAUGUAAUGGCACGGUAGCAUCUUUGCUUGUGUGAUGGCACAAUAACAUUUUUGCAGGCCUCCAUAAUAACUAGACUCUUCCUUGUAUACAGUAGAUUCUAUGUAUGUGUACAGGUAGUAUAUGUAUAUAUACACACACAUUUCUUUAUUUAUAUAGAUAUAUAGAAUAUAUACAUAUCUAUAUACAGAUAUAUAGAAAUAUAUGGAGAGAUGUAUUUGUAUAUAAUUUAUAUUUGGACCUAUUUUUAUGUUCCAGGAGAAAAUAAUAACAUAUAUAUUUACAAGCUGAAAUAUCAAGAUUGCCUCAAGGUUCUUCUUCUGUAAAUAUAACUCAGGACAAGCUGACAAUAAGAUCAGAGAAACAAGUAGACUUCCAAUAUGUUUCAAGGACAGAAUAAAUAAGAGAUCAUUCUAUUGCCAAGAAUGUGGCAGAAAAUAUUCAGAAUAUCUGUGUCAUCACAGAAAUCUAUAGUACCUAGUUUUUGCCCUUUGGCAGAAGAAAAGCACAAGUCCUCUGACUUAGAAAGAUUUGCUAUUUGGAGGAGGCGAUAUAAGUGGGGGCGGCGGUGUGUUUAUAGCUAUAAAAUUUGUGUGUCUAAAAAUGACACCUUCGAAGGCAAGCCUGAGGAACAGAUGCAUUCCUUGAGAAUCACACAAUUACUUUGCCUUUCUGCUCCUCAGAGAGUGCAGGAGACCUCUUGCAUGGCCUCUCCUAGGUGGAAGGAAACCCAUCCCUAAACGGUUGAUUAGCCUCUGCUUCGGAGGUCAAGGCAGACAUAAAGGUGUUGUCUGCUAAUACACUUCCCCAGAGUUUUAUUUUUUGUUUCAUUCUUUUUCUUUCCACUGCCUUCAGUGUGCAAGGCUUUUAAUAAGGGACUUCAGUCCCUGAUGUGUUCAGAUUCGGUUUAUUGUUACCAUCUGUUUAAUUAUCCUCUCAGGUUUGUGUUAGGAAGCAUUAAAGUAUUUUAUCCAGCCUUUGAAUCCCCAUGUUCCUAAAGAGAUGUGGGUAAAGUACGUGUCAGUUUUCAAAGAGCAUAUUAAAAACUGAUAAGCAGAACCAUCUCCAAACAAUAACAUGUAAGGCAAAUACAUUUUUUUUACAUUAAUGCAUGUUACAACUAAUUAGCAAAUGUACAGCAAUGUGGCAAUCUCACGGAAAUGAUGCCAUCUUCUCUAUAUGAAAUCUCAUAUGCUUCUCCUUUGAGGUGAUGGAUUUUUAUGAUUCCUAUUCACUUCCAAUGCACUGACAAUAGGUUUAUUGGGGGAAGAGAUAUGGAAUUUGAUUUGCAAUAGGACAUAUAGUUGUCAUAUGUCAAGCAGAUUUAUGGAUGUGCUGAAGUUAAAGAUAAAUCACAUACCCAGAGAAAAAGGACAGAAUGUUUGGGGAAAAAUGAAAAAACCCAGGGGAAAUUCAGUUACUUGAUUUUUUUCUCCUCUUCCUCUUGAAUUUCCUCCUCAUUAUUAUUAUUAGAUUUCAUGUCAUCAUUAUUAUUACUACAUUGCAUGCUUUUUUUUUUCUGGAGAAAAAGCAGCAUGUUGCUUCCAGUAAGCACUAUAGUCACUGUUAUAUCUGGUGCAGUUUUCCAUGUGCAAAAACCAUUGAUAACAAAAAUUACAUGGGCUGACACAGACGUGUUAUCAGUUUAUGUCCAAAUUAUUUUAUAUAUCACUAUUUUAGUGAAAUUUUUGGAAAUUAUAAAACAAAAUUAAGUAUAAAUGUGUAAGUAUCAAAAUGUUUUAGAUGUCAGAAACCCUGAAAAUCAAACGGAAAUAAAUCAUGCUUUUACUUCCUAAAUCAAGGAAGCCAAAUGAUUAAUCAUUAUUCUUUUUUAUGUAUCCCUUACGAGGUGAUUUCAAUAAACUUUUUUUCUGAGAUUCCAAGAUGUUAUUAGAUUUAAAAUGUAUUUGAAAGUGUUGAGAAAUGGUAGUUUUGUUUUGUGUAAGUACCUUUCCACAGUACCAUAAACAUAAAUGACCAAAGUACUGAUCUCUUUUUAUUCCUUUGUGAAGAAACCAGUGCUGUUCUUGCCUUAUGCUCUUACAUUAUCUCUGUGAAGGAAGAAUAGUGAUGACACCAACUUUCCUCCACUACUUUUGGACACUAAACCUGCUUUCUUUCCCACAGGGUAAAAUAAAGCUGCUGUCUUCAUAUUUCCAAUGAGAAGGGACAUGUGUCUCCUUGCAUUGAAUUGUCUUAGAUCAUAUCAUGUAGCACAAAGUGACCCAAUAUAGGAAGACAGGAAAACAAAGUGACAGUUUUGUUUGCUCUAAUGUAAACGCCAACAUCAAAACAUGGGGCAAAUCCUAGAGGCCCACUGCCAGAACACACAAAUUAAAUAGCAAGAGCUGAUAUUCUGUACUUAAAAAAAUGUAUUCAAGGGAUAUUCUGUAAUCAGCAGUGAAAGGUUAAUGAACAAAUAAGCUUAGCUCAGGUUAGACAAACUGAGUGUAACUACCACUGUUUUUAAAGCCAUGAGAAAGUGAAUCUGGCUGAUACUUGAUAAUACAUCACACACUGUGGUCUUACCUAUUGAUUACAGGCUGACAAUGGGUAACCUUUCAUGGCAACUUCCUCUUUUACCAUGAAUUAUUGACAGUAUUAAUGCCAAUAACACAUCAUCAAAUAGGAAAGAAAUUUACAUUCCUGGAUGUACUAUCCUUAACCUCCAUGCCUUUAACGUCAAGAAAGAAAAGAAAAGAAGAAAGAAAGAAAGAGAGAAAGAAAGAAAGAAAGAAAGAAAGAAAGAAAGAAAGAAAGAAGGAAGGAAGGAAAAAAAGAAAGAAAACAAAGGAAGAAAAAGAAAGAAAGAAAGAAAGAAAAAAAAUAUCUUCUUUCUUGUCUUGAAAAUGCUAAUGAAUUACCUUUGACUUUUAGACAGGUUAUUCAUGUGACAUCCCGAUUAUUCUCAUCCACAACACAAUCUGGGUAACACAGCCCUACAUUUAAGGGAAUCUUGCUGUUGUUAUUUUCACCCUAGUGUCCUCUAAUAGUUUAUAGAUCCUAGGAAAUUUUACUCUAGUGGUGUGUCCUAAGGUCUCUGCAUUAAUAAUUCCUGCUCGUUGAGUGGUCACCAUCUCAAUCCUGCCCCUGUGUGUGUCCCUCUAAGAGUCCCCAAAGUGGGAAAUAGGAGAACACGUUUCAUCUAUUCAUUUCAUCUAUUUAUUUAUUUAUUUGUACAUUUUUAUUGGCACUAACAGUAUGUCAGAGACUCCUUUGAAGGCUGGGGACAUAAACCAAAAAGUUUCUCUGUCCUCUAGGAGGUUACAUUCAAGUGAGGUAGAAUCUUUACCUGGAAUAGCCCAGACUCUGCUGUUAGCUACCUAGACAUCCUCAUUGCCACUGCCACCACCACCUCUUCAAACUAGUAUUAGUGUCAAGUACGUUGCAUUUUACCACAAAUACUUUACACUAUGCUUAAAAAUGGCCUGUAAAAAAGAGACGUUCACCUCCUGUAGGAUGAAUUUCUGUGUGUUGUAUAUCUCAAAUGACAAGCUUUGAUUUUUUAAAACUUCAAAUUAUAAGAAUUCCACCUGAUUUUAACCUACUUUAAACUCCCUUGCGCACUUUGACCUAUUUCCUAUGUCUUGUGUUUGGUGUACCCAAGCUAUUGAAGUACUUUCUUUGGUAACAAGUCAAGCUGCUAGUAUUCUUAUCUGGUUAGAUUUAUAAUGCCUCUUUUAUUCAUCAUUCUUUCUUUUUCCUUCUUCCUUAGUCUUUUUUGAAUUUAUGAUAAACUUUUCACUGAUGUUGAAAUAAUAAUUUUUAUGAAUACGAAUGAAAGUGUUAAUAUAUUUGAUGUCUAUAACUAUUUUUGUUUCAACACGAAAACUGAACACAGACAUAAUUUAAACUUCUACAGAGCAUUCAAAAUUUUCAAGUUCUUGACUUAAAAAUUUUACUUUGAUCUUUGCUACUAGGGUCUGACUGAGCAUUGUCCUUCAAGUAGCCAUAAUUUAUGGGGUUGAUUGUGGUUUGUACAUGAUCUAAUUAUAACUUGCCAAAGCAGUUUUUAUCAUUAGUGUUAUUCUUAUCUAUUCUUUAUUCUUAUCAUGCCAUUGUAGCCUUUAAAGUACUUGCUGGCCAUUUUACUAACGUGCACCCCAUCAAAGCAAAGGUAAUUACAUUAACCAGGAGACAAAAUAGGCUCUACUGAGACCUCACAAUUCCUUAUUUUUCUUACAUAUGGAUAAUGGGACAGCAGUCUUGCUAUGAGAAUGGCCCAGGAAACCCAGAUUGGAUUCAGUAUGCAUUUAAGACCAUGGUUUCUCACUUUUUGACUGUUAACCUGAGCUUGCCACCACUCAUGCUGCCCUUUCUAACUCUGAGCCCCCUAUCUCCCAUCUGACUGCUUUGAUGAAACCUUGUUCCCCAAGGUCACCAACAUGUACCUAGAACCCUGGUUGCUUUUUUUCACCUAUGCUUCAGAGGCCUGUUUCAGACUUUUCCUCAUCAAAAACAAUGACAACUUCAUGUUUAGUAUUCACACUCUAGGGUGAAAAUGAUGGGUCUAAACAGGGGUUACCAUCAAGUGGUGGCUCCACCCAGGCAAUAUGACCAGAGGUACUUUUUAUUUGGUUGGAAUGGUGUUUUUAAUAGUUUGAAUUUGAAAGCCUUUCAUUAGAGUUGUGGUGUUUUCCUGCAGGUUGCAUUACCUGCUUGGCCCUAAGGACAUUUGACUUGGUAUUCUUAAAGCUGUUCUAUUGACUGGCUGUUCACAGAUGAGGACAUAAUGUGGUAAGUCAGAAAAUAACAACUGUUGGUCAUAAAUUUGAAAACUUAGAAGUUGACAGCCAUAAAGCAUAAACUUAGAAGUGUAGUCUUUAUCACAUUUCACUGGUAGUGAAAGUAGCUUAUAUUACAUAGCUAAACAGGAAUUUUGUUAUUCAGAUUUUCUCAUUUGGACUUAAUUUCAAUUAUUUAUGUAUUUAUUAUUUUAGAGACAGGUUCUGGCUGUGUUGCUUGGGCUGGAGGGUAGUGGUGCAGUGGCAUGUUUGUAGCUCACUGCAGCCUUGAACUCCUGGGUGCAAGUGCAAGCAAUCCUCCUGUUUCAGCCUCCCCAGUAGCUAGGACUACAGGUGCACACCAUCAAUCCUGGCUGUUUUUCAAGUUUUUUUGUAGAAACGGGGUCUUGCUGUGUUGCUCAGGGUAGUCUAGAACUCCCAGCCUCAAGCAAUCCUCCCACCUUGGCCUUCCAAAGUGCUGGGAUUACAGGCCUCAGCCACCAUGACUGGUCCUAAUUUCAAUUUUAGUCUCUUAAAUUAUUAUAAAUUAAGAAACAUCUUGCUGCCUUUCAAGUAACACUAAAAAGUAACCAUGGUUUUCUGUGGAAAAGGUGUUCUCUUGUCAUCAAGUUUUAAAUACUCUGUUUAUUCUGGGUUAUCUAAGAUUUAACUUUAAUCAUUCUGAAAACUUGAAGAGACGCUACUUUGUAUUUAAGUGAAGCCGUGCACUUGUAAAUCUUAUCAUAAAGAAUCACACAAGGCCCUUACAAUAUUAUACAAAAUUUAAAUCAACUUCGAUUUAACUAGUCAUCUAAUUAUCAUCAUUUACUUUACAUUCUCACUAAUUAAUUUGGAGACUUUUAAACUUUGUUAGAAUUUUUAUUUCCUUUUCCAUUGACAUGUAACAUCCAUUAAGAAAUGAAACAACAUAAAAUGAACUCUACAAACAGUCUCCACUCACUUCUUCAUAGCCAAAAUGUCUUUUUUGGGAGCAUCUCUGCUUUACCAAAUAGAAGCCUUAAUGGAUAGAGAAGCAGGUUCACAUGAGGAAGAUAAUGCUACAUGGCCAAGGGCCUCUUUAGAAUUUCUCGACUUGCAACUGGCAUGUUGAAUUCCACCUAAAGAUGUAUUUUAUUUUGCCUAGACAGUGCUUUCUCCUCUUUGCUUUCUAAUUGAGCUGACAUAUUGACAUUCUGAGAUUUCACAUGAAAAUUUGUAUUUGUGACAUGUCUCAAAAAAUCAGAAAUUCUGGCAUCUGGGGCUGGUUCCCCAAGAAGCAGGCAAUAACUAGCUGAAGCUAAGUAUCUCUUGCCUCCUCUAGAUGGGGCAAAUUCUCCCUAGUUCAAAACAGUCCAGCCAGGCCCCCUUCAUGGGGUGUUUUUACCUAUCUGGCAUUUGAGUUGGUGAUGCUGGCUUUAGCAUAUCUAUUCCAACUUUAUUUGUAUGUCCCCUGAGGACCAUAAGAAACUGAGUUGUCAUGCAGAUAACUGCAAAACUCCUGUCUCCUUUCAGUAUAACUUUUCCGAGUUGCCUCCUAGGUAGGAAGAAGCUUUUGAAAUAGGAGAAAAUAGUUAUUUCAUGUAUUCAGGUGGUUAUUUGCAUAAAUGAAACUUUGGAACACAUUAUCCUUUGCUGAUUCCCAAAGACACUAAUGCCCCUGGGACACACCCAGGGCACUGAUUUGAAUUGCCAAUGACAAAUCAAAGUGUCAGUCAUGGGUAGAUAUGGAAAGCAUUUGUGGGCCCUCCAGGUUCAAUCAGAACUAUCAGUGGCCAGUGUCGUAGAGGUAGUAAUGCUUUUGUUUGUUAGUUAUGAGCAUGAUACAGGUUCAAUAAUCUGACCAGUAACAUUGCACUCUAGCCAGGAUUAGAAAUAUUUUUAGGAAGUCAAAGCCAGAUGUAAAUUAUCCCCUCAAGUAAAUCUUCAUGAUGCAGAUUCUAUAAAAAUUGUAGAAAAUUGCUAUUAUCAUUAUGCCACCUGUUUGUAUAAAGUCCUUUUGUCAGGCCUGGCUCUGUACCUUCGAGCUGCUCUGUGUGCCUCACUCUGCCAUUUGACCAUCACUUUUCAGCAAAUGAGCUUCCAACACCCACCUACAUUCUGAACCAUUAUAUUUUAAACCACCCUGAACUCUUAUUCAACCUGUUCUUGAUUGAUUGCAGCUUCUGAUUCUUAGGGAAAAUCACCUCUGCGUUUUAUUAUUCUUCCUGUAACAAUGUCUGCUGACUUCCAUCCUCAGCUACAAUUCACAGUGAGCUCUUACAUUACAAUAAUACAAAUGUUUACCAUGUGGGGACAUCUAUAUGUACUCGGCAUUAUGCUAAGUGCUAUAACUUGAUGAGAGACUACUUUGUAUUUAAGUGAAGCAGUGCACCUGUAAAGAAGAUUUGGUUAAUCCCACACCACUGCCACCAACAAAUACAUGAUUGGACUGAGAUGUGACUUUAAAGAUACCUGAUACCAACCAAAACUCAAGCUUUCGACAUGCUGGGGCACACUCUGUGUUACUGACCCUAAGCCCUGAAACUCUCCCUACUGCAUGCAUUUGUGGAUACAUUCUGCCAUGUUCAAUGUGGCUAAGAGAAUGAGUGGGAAUCAGAUGUGUAUUCUCCGUUAUGCCUAUUAAAAUUCUAUUCAACUUCAGAGAGCCAACUAAAACUCAACCCCCUGCCUAGUUUUCUCUGACUGACCUUUCUCUCAUCUGAACUCCUAUAAUAAUUAUUCCUUUGAUUGAUUCUGUAAUUGUUCACCUUGCACAACUUUAGUGCAUUUCUUUCUGCUUUAUUUUAAAAACUUAUUUAUCCUCAUUAUUAUUAGUCAGCAUUUUAUGUGUUCAUAUUAUAGAUCCCCUGUUACAAUGAAGACUCCGUGAAGUCAGACACUUUCUCUAACCUCAACAGAACCUUGAUGAAAAUAAGCAUUUAAUUUUUUUCAACCUAAGGUACUUUAAAAGGUUUAGAAUAUUAGGUGGCUAGUAACAUCUAAUAAUAUUCUAAUUUCUGGAGAAAACAUUCCUGAAGACACAGAGAGGGCAAAAACACAAGAAUAGCAACAACAAAAAAAUAGAAUUUAGAGAUACCUCAUAGUCAUAAAGCUAAAGGAGCUGAAUUAAAGAAGAAAAAUAAUAGUUCAGCUAUGCUUCACCUCAUGAACAUGGAGUGACCUCAGGAUAUCACUAUUGUAUUCAUUGAGGCUGAAAUUGGCAGCUUAUCUUUUCUACUGCCUGCCUUGUGGUUCAGAGUUUAUGAUGUGCAAACCCACCAAAUACUAGGCAAGCAUCCCUGUGCUACACAGGUGUUGUUUUCUAAAAUAGCCAGAAUUCUGUUGCUCUUCGUCUUUGCUCCUCUUUCUAUAUCCAUUUAGAGACUGGAAGUCACAGGAAACAACACGGCAGGAAGAGUGGGGGACUGGCAGUAAAAUAAGGCAUCCUGGAGAGUAUAGUAACCACAAUUAUAUUGCUAAAGAUGGAGCUGGAGUUACAGAAAGCACCAGUAGAAAGGCAGGCUGGGGAUUUAAUUUUUUAUGUAUACUAACUACACCCUUACAUCGACAACCAGGCUGGGAAAGUUGGAGAUGAUUCCACCUGUGUCUAGCAAAACUAUGCUAGUAGUCUUGUUGAUGAAAAAUUUGAUAAAGAAUAAUGCUUAUCAAACUGCCUCAAGCUGUACCUAACCCUAAGAAAGGAAUCCGUCCACCCCUAUGAAUAAUGAAUUCAGUCCAGGAAUGGUCACAUGACCUUCUGUAACCAUUAAAGGUUCCAUUUGGCUCUAUGUAGCAGAAAAGUGGACAUAGUGAUUUAAAUAAAUAAAUCUGUAGUGGGUUUUUUUCUCUUUUUCUUUUUAAAUGUUUGUAUAACAAUAAUUCAGAGCAGUUGCUGUGCUUGGCUAAACACAUUAUCAAAGACACAGGUUUAUCAUUUUUCUCCACUCACCAUCUUUAGAAUGUAGUUUUUUUUUUCCUAUUGCCUCUCUUCUCAUGGCCAGCAGAUGGCUGCUUUAUCCUUAGCAUUUCAGCUACAUUCCAGGCAGGAAAGAAGACAAGCAUUAAGGGAAGAAGGCAUGUGCAAGAUGAACCUGCUCUCUUUUAAAUAGCUUCCAUGGAAAGCCCAUUCAGCAAUCUCUACUUACAUCUCGUUGUUCAAAAGGGUAUCAAAUGUUCACGUUUAGCUUCAAGGAAGACUGGGAGAUGUGAUUUUUAAUCAGGACACUUCGCUGCUGCAAACAAAAUAACACUGGAUAGAGAUUAAGGCUAAUAUAAGAUCAGAGUGAAUUAAGAGUGAGGUGAGAGUAGGGACACUCCUCAGAUCACACAGGGCUUUGCAGUCGACUACAAGGAGUUUAGAUUUUAUUAUUUGAUGCACAAUCAGAGGCCACGAAAGGAUUUUAAGCACAUAAGUCUCUCUGUUGGGUAAAGCAUAGGUUAGGAGAGGAAGAGAGAAAAUGGGGACACUAUUAAGGAGCCUGUCCAUCCUAUUCUCUAUUCAAUAAAUCGUGGUGGCUUGUGCUAGAUUGGUUGAGUGGGUAUAGAUGGAACAAAACAAUUAAAGGACAUUGUCAAUAUAGAACUGAAAAGAGUUGCAGAGGGGUUCGAUGUAGGUAGAAAGAAAGUAGGAGUCUUCUGAGAGUCAAGAUGGAGAAACUGGGUGGAUGAUAGUGCCAAUCACUGAGACAGGAAGAACCAAAUAUCACAGGGAUCUGGUGAGGUGAGAUGUCAAGUGGGUCAUAUUCGGUUGUGAGAAGCUUGAGAUUUCAGUGCACACCGAAGUGAAAGUGUCAUAGGGACAAUCAAUUACGUGAGUUUGGAGCUCAGAGAAUAGAUAUGCCUUGGAGAUAUAAUUUUGAUGUCAACAACCAACAGAUGGUAUUUAAUGCUACAGAAAUAGCCAAGAUCCCAUUGAGACAAAGCGUAGAAAUAUAAGAGGGCUCGAACCUUUAAGGAGCCUACAAAGAAGUUAAAAGACUGAUUGGAAAAGGGGGAGUGAACCAGACGAUGUCAGUUGACAUCCAUGAAUUUCAAUAAAGAAGGGGUGCCCAAGAAGACUCAAAUAAAAAAUAUAUAUACAUACACACAAACACUUAGGUAACUAUGGAUUCAGUUUCUUUGAAGACAAAAAUACUUCAAAGGAAUUGAAAAUGAGUCAAAACUAGUAGAUGUAAAUAUUGGUAUAUAUGACCUAAAAAUAUUUUAAAAAACCCGAGAUGUUUGUUUCAUGUACAAGUAUUUUGGAUAUAAUUUAUAAUCAUAUACAAAUAUGCACAGUUAUACAAGUAGUAUUUAUAAUUAUAUAUUUAAAUGUAUGUUUUGAUAAAAACUAAGCAAUUUUAGAGAUUGUUAUAUAUUGUAAAUGUUUUUUCGUCUCCUAUAAAAGAAAAACUGAAAAUUUA